AGAUUGAACGCUGGCGGCAUGCCUUACACAUGCAAGUCGAACGGCAGCACGGGAGCAAUCCUGGUGGCGAGUGGCGAACGGGUGAGUAAUAUAUCGGAACGUGCCCAGCCGUGGGGGAUAACGCAGCGAAAGCUGUGCUAAUACCGCAUACGAUCUAUGGAUGAAAGCGGAGGAUCGCAAGACCUCGCGCGAUUGGAGCGGCCGAUAUCAGAUUAGCUAGUUGGUAGGGUAAAAGCCUACCAAGGCGACGAUCUGUAGCUGGUCUGAGAGGACGACCAGCCACACUGGAACUGAGACACGGUCCAGACCUCCGUACGGGAGGCA
rnacentral:rRNA from 1 species